rnacentral:lncRNA from 10 species
GGUUUGCCCUGUUCCUCUGUAGACCCAGGCAGCUUCCGGCCGUCAGAUUAGUCGUCAGUGCGCAGACACCACCCUUCGUGGACACGCCCUCUAGGCGUAAGGUUCCAUGCGAGCGGUAAGAGUGCGGCGGGACUUGGAAAUCGAAUCUGUGCUCUGUGAGAGAUCCUAGGAAAGGAAACUGGGAGCCCGGGAGAACUAAAAUUCCCAAUUAAAAGUGAAUUUAAAUCUGAGCUGUUCUUAGACCCAGAAUUUCUUGCCUGAAGGAGGAAUCAGGUCCCCACAAGGAAAGACCCUGCAACUGUAUAAAAAAAGAAUCUAAAAAGAUCAUGACUCCUUCAGUCCUUUCCCAAAGAGACCUAUGGAAAUUUCCUCAGGGAAGAGGGACCAAGCAAAACCCCAGAAGAGUUGAUCUCAAAGCUUAUUUUAUGAAGAAAAUUGACCUGAGUGACACAAAGGGUUGGACUGUAGUAGAUGUCACGUUUUGCUGCCUAGAUCUCCAUCCAGGGAUGAACUCUUAUUUCCUCAGCUUCUUUGUCUCCUCAGCUUCUGGGAGGGUUGGCAGCUGAUAUUCUCACCUGAGUCCCUUUCUAGGACUUGCCCUUGCCUGAAGAGAGCUGUGCUGCCCAACAUGAUGCCUCCUCCAAGGUACAAUCCACACCCAGUGACUAAUAAACAGGGGUUACAAAGGCAUGCCUGCUUGCCCCAGUUUGGGACAACUUUACCAGGCCAACCCAGCCUCAAGGCUCUCCACAGGAACAGGUGAGGCCAUAGUUGUGAUUACAUCACAGGUCAGUUUCUCCUCUGCCCAAGCCUUCUUCCUUCAUUCCUCCACAGAUGCUGAUCCUGAGAUUCCUUUCCAGUAAACUUCCUCCAUGCAAUCUUCAUCUCAGGAGUCUGUUUCCUGGGGAAACUAACCUGCAACUGAUACAAAUGCCUAUUCUGUGAGAUAAAACACUAAAAGUACAAUGCGAGUGGUAUAAAUAUUCUGCUACAGGAAUACAAAGUCAGGUAUCAUUUUUGACUUAGGUAGUCAGAGAAUGGAGAUAUUCUGAGUUGGACUUCUGAGAUACUAGGAUUCAAUAGGUGAAGGGAAGAUGAGAUGGUAUAAGACUAACAUAGGCAGAAUUUUGCUAAACGAAUUGGAGAUGAAACAUCAUAAGUGCAGGUGCACAAGUAGAAAAGUAAAAUCAGAGCUCAAGGAAGGAGAAGUGAUCCAGCUGGGCAGAAAUAUGGGGCCUAUAUAGAGAUAUACCAGGAAAUAAAGCCAGGACGAAUGGCAGGGUAGGACCUGAUUGUUAAGGGUCUUAAAUGCUGGGGUCAAGAUUGUGGCCCUUACUUAAAAGUUGGUUGGGCAUGAUUUUGGGAGUUGUAGCAAAAGAUGUGGCAAACUCAAAGCUUCCUUUUCAUGUAAAGUAUAGAGAAGUGGAGGUUCAUAUCAUUAAAUCACUGUAAUUUCAGUGUGAACUUCUAACAAUUUGAGCUAACCAUGAGAUAGGACACCUUAUCAAGCAAUGAGCUCUUCAUUAUCUAAAGAGAUGCUGAAUUUCAAGUCCAUGUAGAGGAAGUCUUGUGUUGACUAGAGCAUAAUAUGUCUGGGGGGACUUUUCUUCUUUUUUACUGAUAUUUAGUAACUUGGAUAUUGUGCUAAGUGCUUUACAGGUAUUCUUAUUUAAUCCUCACAAGGCAGUAUGGUAGAUAAUCUAUUAUAUUGAAAAUAAUGGGCCAGGCACAGUGGCUCACGCCUGUAAUCCCAGCACUUUGGGAGGCUGAGGUGGGUGGAUCACCUGAGGUCAGGAGUUCAAGACCAGCCUGACCAACAUGGUGAAACCCUGUCUUUACUAAAAAUACAAAAAUAAGCGUGGCAUAGUAGCUCACACCUGUAGUCCCAGCUACUCAGAAGGCUGAAGCACGAGAAUCACUUGAACCCACGAGGUGGAGGUUACAGUGAGCCAAAAUCACACCACUGGACUCCAGCCUGGGUAAGAGAGCAUGACUAGGUCUCAAAAGAAAGAAAGAAAAUAAUGAACAAAAAAUGUUGAGUGGGCAGUAUUAAAUUAAAAAAAAACCUAAUGUAUUAAAGAAGGAGAAAAGUAUAAAAAUUAGUCAACAAGCAGAGAAAGAAAGAAAAUAUAAAGGUAAAAAUGUAUGUUAUCCAAAUGAGACCUCUUAAGAAGAAAAAAUAAAGGAAAUUCAAAAAAUAAGUUAGGAAAUAGUGAGUAAAAUUAUGAAGUUAAAAAUUCACCAAAAAUUUAUUGAUAUGUCCAAGUUCAGCUUGUAGUGAACAGACUCUUCUUAUGCAGAAUUUGAGCAAAGUGCUAACACAACAGAGUUAGGUAAUGGGAUGAGGGUCAGUCAGAUCACUCUAUUUUUGGAAACUGGUUUCAUGACUGCUUCCCCUUACUUAGUCAUAAACAGGCUAUAUAAAAAGCUGUCAGAGUGGAAAGAGGGAGAGGAUUUGUGAAUUUUUUUUUUUAGCAUGUUUUUAUGGUUCUGUAAGUCACCACCCUCCCAAAGGGAUGAAGUUUCGGGGUGCACUCCCCUUACCUCAGCCUAGUAGGGGGACUUCCAGGAGAUAAUGAGAGAGUUGGAUGUUUCCUCAAAUUUACAGACACAAAGACUGGUGCCUGGCUUCUCCUGAUAAAGCUAAACCUGCAUGUGGCUGGUCUCUAGUUGGCUAGAUAGUAGUAGUUAAAAUGAAAAGAAACACUUAAUGUUAGAUGCCAUCCAAUAGGGCCACCUAAAGGGAUGGAAGGUUCUCAACAACAAGAGCCCAGAGGUAGAAGCAAGACUCUUAGCGGGGAAGGAUGGAGUCGCAAGUGAAAACCUAGACAAAGAAGCAUCUGUCCUGGUCCAGAGGCUUCCCCAAUAAAGAUGUCUCACACAACUCUAAGAAGUUAGAACUCGAGAAAAAGACUAACAAGAAAAAGAGUAAGGUGUGUUUGUGGAAGAGGUGAGGCAGUUGUUUUCCUAUAAAUAAUGUUAAAUUAAACUAAAUUUGGUCUGAGGAUGCCUCGUAACUUGAGUCGCUACAUAACAAACUGCAACCUAACUUAGGAGUAUUUUUUUUUUGUACUAACGAG